rnacentral:rRNA from 1 species
AGUGAACGCUGGCGGUAGGCCUAACACAUGCAAGUCGAACGGCAGCACAGUAAGAGCUUGCUCUUACGGGUGGCGAGUGGCGGACGGGUGAGGAAUACAUCGGAAUCUACUUUUUCGUGGGGGAUAACGUAGGGAAACUUACGCUAAUACCGCAUACGACCUACGGGUGAAAGCAGGGGAUCUUCGUACCUUGCGCGAUUGAAUGAGCCGAUGUCGGAUUAGCUAGUUGGCGGGGUAAAGGCCCACCAAGGCGACGAUCCGUAGCUGGUCUGAGAGGAUGAACAGCCACACUGGAACUGAGACACGGUACAGACUCCUACGGGAGGCAGCAGUGGGGAAUAUUGGACAAUGGGCGAAAGCCUGAUCCAGCAAUACCGCGUGGGUGAAGAAGGCCUUCGGGUUGGAAAGCCCUGUUGUUGGGAAAGAAAAGCAGCAGGUUAAUACCCCGAUGUUCUGACGGUACCAAAAGAAUAAGCACCGGCUAACUUCGUG